GCAAAUGCGACGACUGAAAAGAAGUAAGCCCGAGAACAGUCCUUGCAGAGAGCCGCCGGACGGUGCGAGGCGGCAGACGGACGGGCCGAAAUACAUUUCAAGAGCAGCGCCCCGAAAGAAUUUUUCGAGUAGGCGGCGACGGGCGCGCCCGUUACAGCGGACAGGGUAUCGGCCUUCGGCGCCCGUACCCGACGAGGGCGCGUCCCGCGAGGGAGCGCCAAACUGAGGUGGUACCACGGGUAAAAGUUUUCCCGUCCUCUGA
rnacentral:ncRNA from 1 species